GUUGAAACACCGGUUUCCGUUCAAUCACCAAAGUUAAGCAAUAUCGAGGUUGGUCAGUACUAAGAUGGGUGGCUGCUUGGGAAUACCAGGUGUUA
rnacentral:rRNA from 1 species